GACGUAGGGUGCAAGCGUUGUCCGGAUUUAUUGGGCGUAAAGAGCUCGUAGGCGGCUCGUCGCGUCGGCCGUGAAAACCUAGGGCUUAACCCUGGGCUUGCGGUCGAUACGGGCGGGCUAGAGUUCGGUAGGGGAGACUGGAAUUCCUGGUGUAGCGGUGAAAUGCGCAGAUAUCAGGAGGAACACCGGUGGCGAAGGCGGGUCUCUGGGCCGACACUGACGCUGAAGCGCGAAAGCCAGGGGAGCAAACGGG
rnacentral:rRNA from 1 species